AACGAACGCUGGCGGCAUGCCUAACACAUGCAAGUCGAACGAGACCUUCGGGUCUAGUGGCGCACGGGUGCGUAACGCGUGGGAACCUGCCCUUAGGUUCGGAAUAACUCCCCGAAAGGGGUGCUAAUACCGGAUAAUGUCUUCGGACCAAAGAUUUAUCGCCUUUGGAUGGGCCCGCGUUGGAUUAGCUAGUUGGUAGGGUAAAAGCCUACCAAGGCGACGAUCCAUAGCUGGUCUGAGAGGAUGAUCGGCCACACUGGGACUGAGACACGGCCCAGACUCCUACGGGAGGCAGCAGUGGGGAAUAUUGGACAAUGGGCGAAAGCCUGAUCCAGCAAUGCCGCGUGAGUGAUGAAGGCCUUAGGGUUGUAAAGCUCUUUUACCCGGGACGAUAAUGACAGUACCGGGAGAAUAAGCUCCGGCUAACUCCGUG
rnacentral:rRNA from 1 species